rnacentral:tRNA from 1 species
UCUAAUAUGGCAGAAAAUUAUAUGCAAUGAACUUAAGAUUCAUAGAUAAAGACAUACCUUUUAUUAGAU